rfam:Ancylostoma duodenale strain Zhejiang A_duodenale-1.0_Cont5707.1, whole genome shotgun sequence.
GCGCGAUGAAUGUUUACCAUCUUUCGGGGCAUAAGCCUGUUGAUGAAAACAUAACCUUGCUGAGCGCA